GACGAACCGAGCGAACGUUAUUCGGAAUCACUUGGGCUUAAAGGGCGCGUAGGCGGGUCAUCAAGUCAGGGGUGAAAGCCUCCAGCUCAACUGGAGAAGUGCCUCUGAUACUGGUGGUCUCGAGGGAGGUAGGGGCGUGCGGAACUUCCGGUGGAGCGGUGAAAUGCGUAGAUAUCUGGAGGAAUACCGGUGGCGAAGGCGGCAUCCUGGACCGGCAUUGACGCUGAGUGAGCGAAAGCCAGGGGAGCAAACGGG
rnacentral:rRNA from 1 species